UAUAAAAAUAUCUUUAUAAAUAAAUGGAAUUGCAAUGAUAAUAUUUAUGAAUGUGUUUCGUUUUCUGCUUAAUAAAAAGAACACAACUAGAUUAGCUUGUAAACAUAACAAAAUCAAACACACGUCAGAUGUAAUAUCCGUUAAUAUUCAUGUAUUUGAUGCUAAUCUUGCAUUGUAACAUUGCAAACAACUAAUUAUAAAUUUAAUAAGCCCAGAGUGUAUAUAAAGUCACGAAUUUAUUUUUUCUAUACUCUCUAGUUUCAAAAUGUUGCCAAUUGUAUUUUUACUGUUGCUGGUAGUAUCUUCUUGUUUAGCAAAUGGAGCCGGACCGGUAGGCAAGAUUGAAAUUAAAAAAAUUGACGCCUGUGAUAAUUCAAACUACCAAUUGAAAAUUCAAUUUGAUUCAAGUGCAGGCGAUGGCAAAACUUUUAAUAUUCAAUUUAAAACUACCAGGACCAUAAAUGAAAACUGGACGUUCCGAGGUGAUGUUGACAAGUGGACAGGUACAGCAUGGAAAACUGGAGUCAUGAAAGGCGACGGAAAAAUGUGCCAAGCAGCUAAUGAAGCAGUUCCGGCUUUAAAGGAACGCGUAUUUAAGGCUUUAAACGUGAAGAAGUGUGAACUUGCACCUGGAUCAUACUCGUUGAAAGCCAUGAAAUUCUUUGAAAAAGAUAUCAAAAUGAAAGCGCUACCCUAUGGAAAGUUCCGAAUUACUGUGAAAGCAUGGGACGACAAAAAGACGAUUGUUGCGUGCUUUGUUGGCGAAGGCGAACACUCACCUAAGAUUUAAUUGUUUAAAUGCAAUAUAAAUGUAUGAUAUAAAUAUAUCUAUGUGCAAAGAUA